GCAAGAUACCACGGGCGCACGGCGGAUGCCUUGGCACAGGGAGCCGAUGAAGGACGCGGCAAGCUGCGAUAAUCCCCGGCGAGGAGCACACAUCCUUCGACCCGGGGGUCUCCGAAUGGGCGAACCCAUGCACAGCAGUGUGCAUAUCCCCACCCCGAACACAUAGGGGCGGGGAGGACAACCCGGGGAACUGAAACAUCUAAGUACCCGGAGGAGAGGAAAUCAAUCUCGAGACUCCCCGAGUAGCGGCGAGCGAAAGGGGACCGAUGGCCAAACCGUCGAGCGGGCAUACCCGGCAGGGGUUCCGCCGACGGGGUUGCAGGGCCGCGCAUCCGGGGGCUGCCGCCCCCGGGCGCAGGUCCGGCUGGGGAGCGGAACGGCAUGGGAGGGCCGGCCGCAGCGGGUGACAGCCCCGUACGCGAACCCAGACCGGACGGCGCGACGCGGUCCCUGAGUAGGGCCGGGCACGUGAAACCCGGUCCGAACCUGGGUGGACCACCAUCCAAGCCUGAGUACUACCCUGUGACCGAUAGCGCACCAGUACCGUGAGGGAAAGGUGAAAAGCACCCCGGGAGGGGAGUGAAACAGUACCUGAAACCGUGCGCCCACGAGCAGUCGGAGCACCCUUUAAGGGUGUGACGGCGUGCCUUUUGUAGAAUGAGCCAGCGAGUCGCUGGCGCGGGGCGAGGUUAACCGAAAGGGAGCCGGAGCGAAAGCGAGCCUUAACAGGGCGACUUGAGUCCCGCGCCGCGGACGCGAAGCCGGGUGAGCUAUCCGUGGGCAGGCUGAAGCGGGGGUAAGACCCCGUGGAGGGCCGAACGCACGUCGGUUGAAAACGGCGGCGAUGACCUGCGGAUAGGGGUGAAAGGCCAAUCAAACCCGGAGAUAUCUCGUUCUCCCCGAAAUAGCUUUAGGGCUAGCGUCGCGCGUUCACCGCCGGAGGUAGAGCACCGGAUGGACGAGGGGGCUUCGCCGCCUACCGAAUCCAACCGAACUCCGAAUGCCGGCGGCCCAGAGCGCGGCAGUCAGAGCAUGUGGGCUAAGCUGUGUGCUCGAGAGGGAAACAGCCCGGACCGCCCGCUAAGGUCCCCAAGUUCCAGCCGAGUGGCAAAGGAUGUGCGUCCGCCCAGACAACCAGGAUGUUGGCUUAGAAGCAGCCAUACAUUCAAAGAGUGCGUAACAGCUCACUGGUCGAGUGGACAUGCGCCGACAAUACACGGGGCUAAGCUGGACACCGAAGCGGCGGGAUUUUAAUUCAUUAGAAUCGGUAGGGGAGCUUCCCAUGGGCGGAGAAGCCGGAGGGCGACCGACGGUGGAGCGCAUGGGAGUGAGAAUGCUGGCAUGAGUAGCGAGAGACGAGAGAGUAACUCGUCCGCCGUGAACCCGAGGUUUCCUGGGCAAGGCUAAUCCUCCCAGGGUCAGUCGGGGGCUAAGGCGAGGCCGGGAGGCGUAGCCGACGCGCAGCAGGCAGACAUUCCUGCACCGCGCACGCGGCGCUACGACCGACGGGGCGACGGAUGGGGGUGGCUCGGCGGGGUUCUGGACGUCCCCGUGAUGGAGCGCGGCCCGCGGACCAGGGAAAUCCGGUCCGCAGAAGGGCGAGGCUCCGGACGAAGCGAUUGAGCGAAGCGAGUGAGCCCGAGGUCCCUAGAAAAACCCCUAGGCAGGCGCGUGCGCGCCCGUACCGCAAACCGACACAGGUGGGUGGGUAGAACAUACCGAGGCGAUCGGGUCAACCAUGGUCAAGGAACUCGGCACAAUGGCCCCGUAACUUCGGGAGAAGGGGUGCCCGCGCGUACGUGAACCGGCUCGCCCGGGGAGCGGAGGCGGGCCGCAGUGGAGAGGCCCAAGCGACUGUUUACCAAAAACACAGGACUCUGCAGAAGCCGCAAGGCGACGUAUAGGGUCUGACGCCUGCCCGGUGCCGGAAGGUCACGCGGAGGAGUUAGCCGUUAAGGCGAAGCCCCGAAGCCAAGCCCCGGUAAACGGCGGCCGUAACUAUAACGGUCCUAAGGUAGCGAAAUUCCUUGUCGGGU
rnacentral:rRNA from 1 species